AUCUUCAUCAACGACGACCCUACCGGACUGAUGAGAUGACGAUGAUGAUAAGAUGCUGUAAAAUUUAUCCUCUCUGACGAAGGAAUCACAGCCUUUGGACAACAUUGAUGACCUAUGGACUACAUCUUCACACGUGCCAUAAUGCUACACGUGUUAGUACGGAAUCACCCAGAAGAACGACGUGGAGUCUUUUUUCCCGGACGGAUAACGCUGGCUGAAAAAACUCCCAGAUUGACGAUUGACGCAAAUUCCGUUUGAAAACCUUCUGGCCGACCUCAUAAGCUGAUGCAAACUUCUUGAACUCAUUCCAUCUUCAUCAACGACGACCCUACCGGACUGAUGAGAUGACGAUGAUGAUAAGAUGCUGUAAAAUUUAUCCUCUCUGACGAAGGAAUCACAGCCUUUGGACAACAUUGAUGACCUAUGGACUACAUCUUCACACGUGCCAUAAUGCUACACGUGUUAGUACGGAAUCACCCAGAAGAACGACGUGGAGUCUUUUUUCCCGGACGGAUAACGCUGGCUGAAAAAACUCCCAGAUUGACGAUUGACGCAAAUUCCGUUUGAAAACCUUCUGGCCGACCUCAUAAGCUGAUGCAAACUUCUUGAACUCAUUCCAUCUUCAUCAACGACGACCCUACCGGACUGAUGAGAUGACGAUGAUGAUAAGAUGCUGUAAAAUUUAUCCUCUCUGACGAAGGAAUCACAGCCUUUGGACAACAUUGAUGACCUAUGGACUACAUCUUCACACGUGCCAUAAUGCUACACGUGUUAGUACGGAAUCACCCAGAAGAACGACGUGGAGUCUUUUUUCCCGGACGGAUAACGCUGGCUGAAAAAACUCCCAGAUUGACGAUUGACGCAAAUUCCGUUUGAAAACCUUCUGGCCGACCUCAUAAGCUGAUGCAAACUUCUUGAACUCAUUCCAUCUUCAUCAACGACGACCCUACCGGACUGAUGAGAUGACGAUGAUGAUAAGAUGCUGUAAAAUUUAUCCUCUCUGACGAAGGAAUCACAGCCUUUGGACAACAUUGAUGACCUAUGGACUACAUCUUCACACGUGCCAUAAUGCUACACGUGUUAGUACGGAAUCACCCAGAAGAACGACGUGGAGUCUUUUUUCCCGGACGGAUAACGCUGGCUGAAAAAACUCCCAGAUUGACGAUUGACGCAAAUUCCGUUUGAAAACCUUCUGGCCGACCUCAUAAGCUGAUGCAAACUUCU